AUUGAACGCUGGCGGCAUGCCUUACACAUGCAAGUCGAACGGCAGCAUAGGAGCUUGCUCCUGAUGGCGAGUGGCGAACGGGUGAGUAAUAUAUCGGAACGUGCCCUAGAGUGGGGGAUAACUAGUCGAAAGAUUAGCUAAUACCGCAUACGAUCUACGGAUGAAAGUGGGGAUCGCAAGACCUCAUGCCCCUGGAGCGGCCGAUAUCUGAUUAGCUAGUUGGUGGGGUAAAAGCCUACCAAGGCGACGAUCAGUAGCUGGUCUGAGAGGACGACCAGCCACACUGGGACUGAGACACGGCCCAGACUCCUACGGGAGGCAGCAGUGGGGAAUUUUGGACAAUGGGGGCAACCCUGAUCCAGCAAUGCCGCGUGAGUGAAGAAGGCCUUCGGGUUGUAAAGCUCUUUUGUCAGGGAAGAAACGGUUUUGGAUAAUACCCAGAGCUAAUGACGGUACCUGAAGAAUAAGCACCGGCUAACUACGUGCCAGCCGCCGCCGUAAAAC
rnacentral:rRNA from 1 species